rnacentral:rRNA from 1 species
GCACAAGCGGUGGAGCAUGUGGUUUAAUUCGAAGCAACGCGAAGAACCUUACCAGGUCUUGACAUCCCGAUGCUAUUCUAGAGAUAGAAAGUUACUUCGGUACAUCGGUGACAGGUGGUGCAUGGUUGUCGUCAGCUCGUGUCGUGAGAUGUUGGGUUAAGUCCCGCAACGAGCGCAACCCUUGUCCUUAGUUGCCACCAUUCAGUUGGGCACUCUAAGGAGACUGCCGGUGUUAAACCGGAGGAAGGUGGGGAUGACGUCAAGUCCUCAUGGCCCUUAUAUCCAGGGCUACACACGUGCUACAAUGGCCGGUACAAAGGGUCGCAAUACCGCGAGGUGGAGCUAAUCCCAAAAAGCCGGUCUCAGUUCGGAUUGGAGUCUGCAACUCGACUGCGUGAAGUCGGAAUCGCUAGUAAUCGCGGAUCAGCAUGUCGCGGUGAAUACGUUCCCGGGUCUU